AGCAGCCGCGGUAAUUCCAGCUCCAAUAGCGUAUAUUAAAGUUGUUGCAGUUAAAAAGCUCGUAGUUGAAUUUCGGGGUUAGUAGGUCGGUCAUGCCUCAGGUAUGCACUGGUCUCACUGAUUCCUCCUUCCUGAUGAGCCGUAAUGCCAUUAAUUUGGUGUUGCGGGGAAUCUGGACUGUUACUUUGAAAAAAUUAGAGUGUUUAAAGCAGGCUAACGCUUGAAUACAUUAGCAUGGAAUAAUGGAAUAGGACGUUCGAUCCUAUUUUGUUGGUUUCUAGGAUUGACGUAAUGAUUAAUAGGGAUAGUUGGGGGCAUUAGUAUUCAAUUGUCAGAGGUGAAAUUCUUGGAUUUAUUGAAGACUAACUACUGCGAAAGCAUUUGCCAAGGAUGUUUUCAUUAAUCAAGAACGAAAGUUAGGGGAUCGAAGACGAUCAGAUACCGUCGUAG
rnacentral:rRNA from 1 species